CCCUUAGAUGUCCUGGGCCGCACGCGUGCUACACUGACACUUACACCGAGUUUUUCCGGCCCCGAGAGGUGGCUGGUAAUCAGUAAUAGGUGUCGUGAUGGGGAUAGAUCUUUGGAAUUAUUGAUCUUGAACGAGGAAUGCCUAGUAAUCGUAGGUCAUCAGCCUGCGAUGAUUACGUCCCUGCCCUUUGUACACACCGCCCGUCGCUCCCACCGAUUUCGAGUGGUCCGGUGAACCUUUCGGACAGAGAGAGUCUCGUACAAUCUCUGAAAGUCAAGUAAACCACAUCACUUAGAGGAAGGAGAAGUCGUAACA
rnacentral:rRNA from 1 species